CGGCGGACGGGUGAGUAACACGUGGAUAACCUACCUAUAAGGCUGGGAUAACUUCGGGAAACCGGAGCUAAUACCGGAUAAUAUAUUGAACCGCAUGGUUCAAUAGUGAAAGACGGUUUUGCUGUCACUUAUAGAUGGAUCCGCGCCGCAUUAGCUAGUUGGUAAGGUAACGGCUUACCAAGGCAACGAUGCGUAGCCGACCUGAGAGGGUGAUCGGCCACACUGAACUGAGACACGGUCCAG
rnacentral:rRNA from 1 species